ensembl:lncRNA
AUUGAACUAAAUUUCUGAAGUAAAAGGUAUUCAUACUUUUCAAUUUUAGAAAAAAAAAAGUGUAGGCUGCAAGUCAUUUUCCCAAAUAGAAGCGUGUGAAAUCUUUAUCCAGUCAUGAUAAAAUUGUUCCCACUUGCUGUUAAUACCACACAGGUUUAUAAGGUCAGUAAAAAGAGAUCAUUCCACAAUAAAACCUGACGGUCAAAAGUAUCUAUCUUAGUUAAACUAACAUAAUACCUAUUAAGCAUGAAUUUCUUAUAAAAGACAACACACAGACUUCCCUCAGAGAUUUCUUUAAAGCAAGAUAUAAUGCAUAAUGUUUUGCAUGUUUAUAAUUAGACAUCAACUCCAUCAGUUGCAACACAUCUAUUGCUAUUUUUCAGCUAAUAAACCCGGGUUUUUUUCACUGCUCUUCCUUCCUCUUAGUCUAGUUUCUUAUCCAAAAUAAAAUAACCUAAUGAUGCAAAUCGGAUAUCUUAAUAUCCUUUUCAUGAAACCGUCUCAAAUGCAUUUAAUAUUGUUAAUUAAACAAUGUCUAAACUUUCCACAUUAAUCAUUUUAAAUUGCACUCUCUCAAAACAAACUCCAUACUUUUACUAGGAAAAAUGCUGUUAAUUUCUGCACUAUCACUGGGGCUAGCCGAGAGUCAAUCAAAGAUGUUAUUAAUGGAUGUGCUUAUUUAUUCUCUUCUCCACAGUUUAAGAAUUACAAACCUAGUAAAUUUGGCAACAUUAUAAUUGCAAAGCCUCUCCUUAUCAUGAGCCACACAAUGGAUCCAGAGCAUGAUUCCUAAGCUAGUUAACAUAAAGAAGACGAGUCAAUAUUAUGAAGUAGUAUUUGCAAAAAAAAUCAUGAUUCAAGUUAAAAAGUAUACAUAUUUUUGAUUUCUAUAUUAUAUAUAUACUUAUAUAAUAUAUAUAUCACACAAAUGAAACAUGAUAUUCAGGGAGGAUAUUAUAUUGUGUUAUGCAGGAAUAAAAGGAUCAAAAGAUAUUCAUAUAUGAUUUAAAUGAUUCGAAAAUGACUUUAUUUGGAUAGCAUUGUUAUAGAAAUGCUAGUGCAAAUGCUGACAAAAUGAACAUCUCAUUUCCUGAAGUCAAAUUAAACAUUACGUAUUCCUUCACAGUGUAAAUACUGAAAAAUGUAUCACACCUGGUUCAAGAAAGAAGGCAGAAACUAUUCUAAAUAUUUUAAUUAAAUAAAUUUAAAUUAAAUUAAAAUAUUAAAUUAAAUAUCUAAAUAUUUCAUUAUGAGGAAACUUAAUACAAACAUAGGUUUCACGUGCUAGUACUUAAAGGGGAACCCAGAGAUUAGCAACAGCAGGGAGCUUCCAUCAUCCUAAGAGCUGGAGGGAGGAACAGCAAAAGUUACUAGAACAUGAAAGUAGGGCCAUACAAUGAGAACUGGGGCCAUGGCAUGAGUGACUGUGACCCUGUCCUAAGAGGCCACAAUGAGUGGAGACAGGUAACAGAGGACGUUGGUUUCUUCUCUCCCCUCUCCUCUUAACUUCCACCCAUGCCUUCUACUGGCCACAUCUAUCCAGCAAACAGAGUGCACUGGAGACCUGAAGGGGAUGUUAUCAUGAUAGGCAGCAGAGCAGGAGAGGCUCAGGUGCAGAGCAAACAAACACAAUAAAUGUCCUAUU